rnacentral:rRNA from 1 species
AUUGAACGCUGGCGGCAUGCCUUACACAUGCAAGUCGAACGGUAACAGGUCUUCGGAUGCUGACGAGUGGCGAACGGGUGAGUAAUGCAUCGGAACGUGCCCAGUAGUGGGGAUAAGCCGGCGGAAAGCGGAUUAAUAACGCAUUCGGACCGGGGGGGGAAGGGGGGGGAUGCCAGGACUCCCGCCAUUGGAGCCGGCGGUGUGAGAAUAGCUAGUUGGUGGGGUAAAGGCCUACCAAGGCAACGAUCUGUAGUUGGUCUGAGAGGACGACCAGCCACACUGGGACUGAGACACGGCCCAGACUCCUACGGGAGGCAGCAGUGGGGAAUUUUGGACAAUGGGCGCAAGCCUGAUCCAGCAAUGCCGCGUGCAGGAAGAAGGCCUUCGGGUUGUAAACUGCUUUUGUCAGGGAAGAAAUCUUCUGGGUUAAUACCUCGGGAGGAUGACGGUACCUGAAGAAUAAGCACCGGCUAACUACGUGCCAGCCGCCGCCGUAACAC